rnacentral:lncRNA from 1 species
CUUGGAGUUCCGUUGCUCCUCAGAGGCUGUACCCGCAGGCGGCUUGGGAGAGGUGGGUUCGGCCCCUCAGCGGUUGCACUUCCUAGGUCUGUGCGGCCCAGCGCGACAGGAACCUGCGCUGUGCUGUUGUUUCUCAGACUAUUUUUAGGAAUAGGCGGAUCGGCGCGUUCAGGUAACAAUUGAUGAUGAAUGAUCCAUGUCUUCAAGAAUGCAAGUAACACUGUAGAGAGAGGAAAGCUCAUCAGUGGCCAUGCUUAUUUUCUAGGAACCCAGGCUACUUUCAUAAUGAAAAGACAGAGAUGGAAAAGAGGGUGUCUGACUGCUGGACAAACAGUUACCAGGAGUCAGUGACUUUUGAGGAUGUGGCUGUAGACUUCACCCAGGAGGAAUGGAUUUUAUUGGACACAAAACAACGGAGCCUUUACAGAGAGGUGAUGCUGGAG